AGGUUGCCGAGUUCCUAAACCUACCGGUUCGACGACGCCGUCCAGGUGUGCAUAUUGGCGUGCCGUAAACGUAGCAGCGAUCGCGCGCUUCUGCCUUCUUCGUUCCUUUUUUAAGUCGCUUGCCAUUUGUUUCGGCGUCGCUCAAAACCCUAGGAAUAGAGAAGGAACGCAAAUUACGACGGCGGCGAUCUCCAUGGCUGGGGGAGCCAUGGUCGAAGAGGAGGAGCAAGUGAAAGAAGCGGCACCGGCCGACAGGGAGGUGAAGAGCCCUUCGAUGCCGUUGGUCCAUAGCCAGGUGCGGCGGAUACGGGAGGAGGAUCUCCGGAUCGGAGCCGUUGCCGGCGAGAGGUUGAGUGAGAGGGUCAUGCGGUUCCACAUCGCCCUCCACCACUCGUCCGUCUCCGCAGAUGCGGCCUUGUGUUUUCGUGCCGCGGCACUUCCGGCCUCUCCGCUUCGCAACAGCAUGACGGCCCUCGGAUCGGCUUGAUUUGGUCACUUUUGUCCGGCGCCAGGAAAUUGGACAAAUUUUGGAAAUAAUAGUGUUUCUUCUUCUCUUUUUUCCCCCUCCCUUGUCAUCAAUCAUGUUCUUGUACAAUGCCUCCGUAGGAUUUUGACAUCAUAUUAAUGAUAAUCCCCUAUGGAUUUGAAAUCAUAUCGUCUACUUUCUCAGUGCAUAUGGCGUGCCGGUGCUAAUUCUCUACUUUUAUAUUCGUUUGCUAUGUGCUUGUGAUGUGCACUUGAUCUGCAAGUUACAAAAGUCGCAACCGUCAACUCAACUGAUUCUGCAACCACCGAAUGAAAAGCGUUCCAGUGGCUUUACAGUGGGGCCACUCCGUGGGGCCCACGUCCUCCUCUUGUACUCAUGCGACGCUGACGUUUCGUCCUCAUGAACAAAUCUCUAUCGUUGAUUUUCUCCCUUAUCUUUAGUGUUUAGACAAGGAAACAGUCUCUUUCUCAAACCUGCUGCUGAUUCGAAUAAACUGGCAACCCAAACACAUGCAAGGAGUCGGCAUUUACCCUGGUCGCCGAACUUGCUGGUCAAAAGACGAGAUAAGGCAGAAUGCUUAAGGCCAAGUGAUACAGAUUGUGGAGUGUGGACUGUGGCAUUUAACAACACUGUCAAGGACAGAAAACACGUUCGUGGUUAGAGCUCCAGAUGUCGGUUGGUUGUCUCCGGAGAUAACAACUCGAGCCAGACCAUGUGAAAGAAAAUAACAAGAAAAUGAAAUUACUGCUGCUUGCUACUUCCUAGCUCAAAUUCUCAUAACUGAGGAACGGAGCAGGCUCCGGAUGAUCUCAGCCUCGGCGCUGUUGGUGUCGACGGUCUCCAUGAGCGCGGAGAGUCGGUCGCUGAGGUCGUCCACCUCCCUGUUCAGGCUCCGGAUGUAGUUGCAGGUCUCCUUGAGUAACUUGGCUGCCGACGCCUGCGCAAGAGCACAACUCAAGCGAUCAAUAUCUGAAAAAGCUAUUAAAUCCCUUUUUCAUAUAUGCAAUGAGAAUGCAGUGGAUUCAACAAGUACAAUGCCAAUUAAAGUUGAUGUCAGAAACCCGAACAGAAGAGGAAAAUCAAGCAUCACUUGAAGGCCUUUACCAAUGACCAUCAUCUUCAAAUCCUGUUUCAUCUGAAAAGCUCUUGAAAAAAAAGAGACGGGGAAAAAAAAGGUAGAAAACCUUUGGGGAGGAAGAGGAAAGAGAAAAGACUCAGAUCUAGCUAACACUUUAAUAGUGGACUGAUAAGUAAGAAAGGAGCAGAAAGUGUCAAAUAACUUUUGACCACACCAUUAGACCUGGAAAAUAGAGUUCGCGACUUGCACACACAAUUUAAAAUCACUGUAUUGCAAAAUCUUUCUCAACGGACCACUGCAAGAUCUGAUGGUCCACUUGCUGUCCAGAACUGAUAGUGCUAUACUGCUUCAUCAAACUUGGGAGAAAUUGUUGCUGUGUUGCUUAGAUAACUGAGCCCUAACCUUCACGUCAUCUUUUAUAAUGUUCAACUGAGUUCGAUGCCUGAGAAUUGUCGAAUAUGAAACUUGAAGGUCUCCUGUAUUGCUUAUAGUUUGGUCUAGCUAGGUGAAAUAAUGAUGGUUUGUGUCCAAUUGGUUUG